GAAGAGAAGGGGAGUCCGGGCAGUUAGAAGAAGGGUGGCCUGAGGGAAAUGAUGAGAAGGGGAGGGGGAGAUAAAACAGAACACUACCAUUUUGGUUCUGUUCAACUUCCGUGGAAGUUGUGGUGGCAAACGUAAGAAAAUCGGGUCAUCGGUGGGUGCAUGUAGCGAGGGCCGGGCGGAGCAAAAACGUAGAAAAGGCCUAUCAGAAGAAAUGUUUUCGUGCGGUUCCUCGUUAGUAUAGUGGGCUAGAGGAAGAGAAACUUAUGAAAUAAACCAGGAAGAGCCAGCCAUCAAUACCAGAUGCAGUCCAGAGGACCACCAAACAAAGAAAAAGCCACCUUCUGCACCUGCCCGUGUCCUCUGAUGCCACCAGGCAAUAUGUUUGUUUGCGAUACAGAAUGCCCUUGCCAGCCCACCCCCCAACUAAUGGUAAGCCUGAUUGCAAGCUUUGUUGUACCUGUUUCUUUCUGACUCAGAGAUUCCAGCUCAGCUUAUAUUUUUCCCACUAAGUAGGCAGUGACAUUUCAUCACAGCAGGUACUUACACCUUUUGUUCUGAUUACUUAAAGCACAAGUAGGUUUUGAUAAGUGUUUGCAGGGUUUCAUUUUCAAAAGUCCUAUUUUUGUGUCAUAUUUGUUGGCUUUGAGCCCAGCUUCUCUUGCUCUGCCAACAGAGCAGGUUAUCCCUGUUUGCCCGUGGAAAUAACAUUUUCAUGAGCAAAGGCCAACCCAAAAUGCUUUCCUCCUAAAUGUUCUUCUCAUCUACAAAUCCAUAUUUGAGGAACCAUUAUUUUGUCAUUUCUUACAAAAGACUUCUUUUAUUUGAAAUUCAGAGUUGAGUAAACCCGUGGAAGAGACACAUGGUUCACUCGCUCUCUGCCCUCUCCGACACGUGUCUCAGGAUUUCUUAAACCCAGCCGAGCACUUCUGCAUACCUCUGAGACCUGGCCCCUCCUCCCUUCCCAGCCGCUUCCCCUUGGCUUCCAAAGCAGCCCCCUUCUCCUUUCUUCCUCACACACACCCUACACCCCACUCAGUUCUAUCCAACCAAUGCAUAGUCCUGGAAGGCCCUCCAUACCUACUUCUCUCACUUCUGCUCACUGCCCCCGUUCUCCAUAGAUAUAUUCCCGGUGUGUUUUUCUCUCAUUUGGUCAUUAAUUCUUCUUGACCAUGAAUGUCACAUACCUAUGUAUGUAUGUAUGUAUGUGUAUGUAUAUAUCAUAUAUGUGUAUGCAGUUAAUCCUCAUUAUUCAUGGAUUUGGCGUUUACAAGUUUGCCUACUUGCUAAAAUUUAUUUGUUAUCCCAAAAUCAAUAUUUACAGAGCUUUUGUGGUCACUCUUGGACACACUCAGAGCUGUGAAAAAUUUGAGUCUCCAGAGGCACACAGUCUCAACUGAGGUUAAACAAAGUGACCCUCUGCCUUCUUGCUUCUGCGCUUAUACUGUAAACAAGUGUCCUUUUUGCAGUCUAGUGUCACCUUGUUUAUACAUUUUUGUGCUUUUCAUUGGUGAUUUUGCAGUUUAAAAUGUUCCCCAAGUGGGUGCUGAAGUGCUGUCUAGGGUUAAGCGCAAGAAGGCGGCGAUGUGCUUUAGGGAGAAAGUAUGUGUGUUAGAUAAGCUGCAUCAAGCAUGAGUUACAGUGCUGUUGGCUGUGAUUUCAAUGUUAAUGAAUCAACUAUAUAUUACAAAAGUGUCUUUAAACAGAAAAACAUAUACAUGUGAUUUUGUAUUGAUUGACGAAAAUGUGAACAGAGGCUCUCAGGAGCCUACUUACUGUAUUUUCCCUGGGAGCAAAGGUUCAGCAUUCACUAAUGCAAUGUUUAUGGUAACUUUCUAGGAUGUAGUUACUGCAAAUCAUGAGAAUCGACUGUAUAUAUUUCUUGUCCGUCUGGUUAGUUUUUAUUUGUUUUUUUAUACCUCUCUCACUCUGUUCCCAAAGAAGUGGAGGGGGCAGUUUCUUCCAGGUAUACCUUACAAUUCUGUUGUCUCUGUUGCAGCCCCCAGCUCAGUACAAACAACAUAGCAGUCCUCAAAAGAUUCAAAAGGAAUAAAAGACAGGAAUGGAGAAAGGAAGGAACAAAAGUAGGAAAGAUGGCAGAACGAAAAGACACACCAUGGAAGCAGAGGGUGCUGCUUAUCUAAGCAGGCAUGGCUU